rnacentral:rRNA from 1 species
ACUCCUACGGGAGGCAGCAGUGGGGAAUAUUGCACAAUGGGCGAAAGCCUGAUGCAGCCAUGCCGCGUGUGUGAAGAAGGCCUUCGGGUUGUAAAAUUCUUUCAGUAGGGAGGAAAGGUAAUAACUUAAUAAGAUCUUGCUGUGACGUUAUCAACAGAAGAAGGACCGGCUAACUCCGUGCCAGCAGCCGCGGUAAUAC